rnacentral:lncRNA from 1 species
UUCCACAGGUUACAAUAUCGAGACUUCAAACACUUUACCGGUGAUACCACCAUCGGCGGUCCCUCCGGCUACUGCCGUUAAACCGGAAGCAACGGCCAGAAACAGCAGUAAUGCUGGAGCUCCAGGGUCAUCUCCACCACCUAUGACAAAUAAAUCAACCCAGCUUAAAGCUUUGUCGUAUGUAUUCACAAUUGCUCUAGUCCUAUAUUUUGCUCUAAUUUAAUUUUUUUUAAUUGCAAAGUGCCCCUCACCUAGACCCUGUACCAUAGGGUAUGUUAUUGUUUUAGGAUUAUACAAUGGGGGAAACAUUUUUUAACUUACUAUAGUUUUGUUUUUUCAUGUUAGUGGCAUAAUUACACAGCUUUGUAAAUAUGUUUUGAUUUUGAUAAAUGAGAAUAAUUUUUACAGCAUUUACUUACAUUUCUAAGUUAUAAAAUUUUGGUGUUUCCUGCUUUUUCUUUUUCUUUAAAUUUAUAAUUUCCGAUAAAAAUUAUAUAAUAUAUCAAAGUUUUGUGUAGAUAUAUAAUACUUUCAACAUCAUGGUAAAAAAAGUCUAAUUAGCCAUUAAAUUUGUUAAUUAUGUUACUUCCAAAAUUUUAUGAGAGAAAAAUAUUAUUAUAUAGAUAAUGUCAUGUCAUUUUGUUAUUUUUAGAUGAACUAAAUCUAUAAUUUACGUAAAAUUUAAUCUAACGGAUUUAACUAUUAUUAUUUAAUUCAUGACUGAAAUUUUAAAAUUAAAAAAAAAAUACAGUGAUUAAAAUGGGCUAAAUUAGAGCAAGAGAAUAAUUUCAGAACUUAUGCAUAGCAUAGGGACUAAUAGAAGAAUUUGACCUAUCUUAUAUAACUUGAUGUACUCACCAAUUUGACAAAGCUAAAUGCAAUGAUACGAUGUAAAUACUAUAGCAAUUUUGAAAAUAAAAGACGAAAACAAAUAGUAAAAUAUGAUACCAAAAGAAUAAUGUGAACCAACAUGAAUUAUUAAUACGUAAAAGGUUACAUAAAAUGUAAAAAUACAAUAUAUCUAACAAAAGAAAAUAUAAAUGGACUAAUCAGCUUACAUUAGACAUAAACAUGGGUUAAAGCCAAGUUUCUAAAGCUCACUUGAUAUCUGGUAGACUUUUGAAAAAAAAAAUAUGUGAAGGUUUAAUCAAAGUUUCAAUCAUUAAUUUACAAUUAUGAUAGAAAAAUCUAGAUAGAAUUUGAUAUUCAUAUUUCAGAUUGAUUUGAUCUUAAGUUUUAGUACGUAUCUAUGAUGUUAAUACUAUACUGGUGAGGGAUUUUUUUUUUUUUAGAGAAGUUUGUGAAGUGUCAUUUGUUUAGAGCUAGUGGACCCCUCAACAAGUUCGAUAUGUCCCAGAUGAUGAUUUUGUCUCCCAACUCUGCUGAAAGCACGAGUCCUUAUAAAGGUUGUUUUAAGAGACACUAAGACUUUUAACAAAGUUGAGAGACAAAACUCUCACCAGGACAAUAUCAAAUUUAUUUACGAGUCCACCAAUUCCAGACAAACGACUCAACAUAUACAUUUAGUUAACCCGGACCCGUGAACACCUUUUGCAAAGUAUAAUACAAAAGAGCAAAAAGGUUAGCCUUAAUUUGAUAAAGUUAAGAGACUUAGGGAACAAGCUUUAUAAGCACAAAUAACUACUCUGAUUGUUACACCCUAACCUCUUCCCUUUUGAACAAACGAGAAUCUAUCUUUUUCCUGUUGUUGUAUCAAACAUUAGCAAUGGCUACAAGCCUCAGCCUAAUCCCCAUUAUAGAUAAAUUUCAUAAAACUACCCAACUUAAAAAUAAAUGAAUAAAUAAAUAUUAGAGAAUUAGCCAACUCAAAUUUUAACUAAAUAUAUCGAUUUAAUUACAUGCUAUUUACAUGUAAAAAAUUAGUAAAUUAAUCCUAACAAACCAUAGUUACAAAUAUCACACACAAAAAAAAGGAAAAAAAAAGAAAAAAAAAUUGGAUUAUUUUCAAUAUGGAUAUGAAAAUGACAAAGAUCAGUUGCAUGGGGAUUUUGUGGUAGGGUGAAGCAUGCUUAAUAAACACUACAUCAUAAUUUUUUCUUCAAGCAUUUCAUUACUAUAUGCAAUGGGGCCACCUAUGGGUGACCUUUGUUACUAGCAGAUCCUUUGGCUCACUAUAAAUAAUCUCUAUGAAUCUCUAAACUUUCCCAUACAAAACGAGCUAAAAGCUACUUUGAAUUUGAUAAAAGAAGACAAAGUGGUUUUUAAAAUGGCUUUACUCAUAGCAGUACUGACCUUAGUUUUGCUUGUGUCUGCGUCGACUUCACCAGCCAUUGCUCUUAGCUUGAAUCAUUAUGAGAAAACCUGUCCUGAUGUUGAGUCGAUAGUUGCAAAAGCUGUCGAGC